GAAGAGAGGUCUGAUCGGAGACUUGAAGGAGGAAGAGAGCCUGCGAAAGCUCAUAGCCGCCGUCAUUGCUCGGCAGAUUCAGCUGUGAAAAUAA